rnacentral:snoRNA from 1 species
CUGUACCUCUGAUAGACCUGGAGCAGUUAGUUGUCUGCUGCUAAGGUUUCCACUCCAGCUGCAAGAAAAAAAUGGUCCUCACUCUUUUUGUCUGUUUGUGGCACCCAAAAUUGAGUGGGGGAAUACAGGA